UUAAGCGACUAAGCGUACACGGUGGAUGCCCUGGCAGUCAGAGGCGAUGAAGGACGUGCUAAUCUGCGAAAAGCGUCGGUAAGGUGAUAUGAACCGUUAUAGCCGGCGAUGUCCGAAUGGGGAAACCCAGUGCAAUUCGUUGCACUAUCGUUAACUGAAUACAUAGGUUAACGAGGCGAACCGGGGGAACUGAAACAUCUAAGUACCCCGAGGAAAAGAAAUCAACCGAGAUUCCCCCAGUAGCGGCGAGCGAACGGGGAGCAGCCCAGAGUCUGAAUCAGCUUGUGUGUUAGUGGAACGGUCUGGAAAGUCCGACGGUACAGGGUGAUAGUCCCGUACACCAAAAUGCACAGGCUGUGAACUCGAAGAGUAGGGCGGGACACGUGGUAUCCUGUCUGAAUAUGGGGGGACCAUCCUCCAAGGCUAAAUACUCCUGACUGACCGAUAGUGAACCAGUACCGUGAGGGAAAGGCGAAAAGAACCCCGGCGAGGGGAGUGAAAAAGAACCUGAAACCGUGUACGUACAAGCAGUGGGAGCACCUUCGGGUGUGACUGCGUACCUUUUGUAUAAUGGGUCAGCGACUUAUAUUCUGUAGCAAGGUUAACCGUAUAGGGGAGCCGCAGGGAAACCGAGUCUUAACUGGGCGUUAAGUUGCAGGGUAUAGACCCGAAACCCGGUGAUCUAGCCAUGGGCAGGUUGAAGGUUGGGUAACACUAACUGGAGGACCGAACCGACUAAUGUUGAAAAAUUAGCGGAUGACUUGUGGCUGGGGGUGAAAGGCCAAUCAAACCGGGAGAUAGCUGGUUCUCCCCGAAAGCUAUUUAGGUAGCGCCUCGUGAACUCAUCUUCGGGGGUAGAGCACUGUUUCGGCUAGGGGGUCAUCCCGACUUACCAACCCGAUGCAAACUACGAAUACCGAAGAAUGUUAUCACGGGAGACACACGGCGGGUGCUAACGUCCGUCGUGAAGAGGGAAACAACCCAGACCGCCAGCUAAGGUCCCAAAGUCAUGGUUAAGUGGGAAACGAUGUGGGAAGGCACAGACAGCCAGGAUGUUGGCUUAGAAGCAGCCAUCAUUUAAAGAAAGCGUAAUAGCUCACUGGUCGAGUCGGCCUGCGCGGAAGAUGUAACGGGGCUAAACCAUGCACCGAAGCUGCGGCAGCGACACUAUGUGUUGUUGGGUAGGGGAGCGUUCUGUAAGCCUGCGAAGGUGUGCUGUGAGGCAUGCUGGAGGUAUCAGAAGUGCGAAUGCUGACAUAAGUAACGAUAAAGCGGGUGAAAAGCCCGCUCGCCGGAAGACCAAGGGUUCCUGUCCAACGUUAAUCGGGGCAGGGUGAGUCGACCCCUAAGGCGAGGCCGAAAGGCGUAGUCGAUGGGAAACAGGUUAAUAUUCCUGUACUUGGUGUUACUGCGAAGGGGGGACGGAGAAGGCUAUGUUAGCCGGGCGACGGUUGUCCCGGUUUAAGCAUGUAGGCUGGUUGUCCAGGCAAAUCCGGAUAAUCAAGGCUGAGGUGUGAUGACGAGGCACUACGGUGCUGAAGUAACAAAUGCCCUGCUUCCAGGAAAAGCCUCUAAGCAUCAGGUAACAUUAAAUCGUACCCCAAACCGACACAGGUGGUCAGGUAGAGAAUACCAAGGCGCUUGAGAGAACUCGGGUGAAGGAACUAGGCAAAAUGGUGCCGUAACUUCGGGAGAAGGCACGCUGGUGUGUAGGUGAAGUCCCUGCGGAUGGAGCUGAGACCAGUCGAAGAUACCAGCUGGCUGCAACUGUUUAUUAAAAACACAGCACUGUGCAAACACGAAAGUGGACGUAUACGGUGUGACGCCUGCCCGGUGCCGGAAGGUUAAUUGAUGGGGUUAUCCGUAAGGAGAAGCUCUUGAUCGAAGCCCCGGUAAACGGCGGCCGUAACUAUAACGGUCCUAAGGUAGCGAAAUUCCUUGUCGGGUAAGUUCCGACCUGCACGAAUGGCGUAAUGAUGGCCAGGCUGUCUCCACCCGAGACUCAGUGAAAUUGAACUCGCUGUGAAGAUGCAGUGUACCCGCGGCAAGACGGAAAGACCCCGUGAACCUUUACUAUAGCUUGACACUGAACAUUGAGCCUUGAUGUGUAGGAUAGGUGGGAGGCUUUGAAGCGUGGACGCCAGUCUGCGUGGAGCCAACCUUGAAAUACCACCCUUUAAUGUUUGAUGUUCUAACGUUGGCCCCUUACCGGGGUUGCGGACAGUGUCUGGUGGGUAGUUUGACUGGGGCGGUCUCCUCCCAAAGCGUAACGGAGGAGCACGAAGGUUAGCUAAUCCUGGUCGGACAUCAGGAGGUUAGUGCAAUGGCAUAAGCUAGCUUGACUGCGAGCGUGACGGCGCGAGCAGGUGCGAAAGCAGGUCAUAGUGAUCCGGUGGUUCUGAAUGGAAGGGCCAUCGCUCAACGGAUAAAAGGUACUCCGGGGAUAACAGGCUGAUACCGCCCAAGAGUUCAUAUCGACGGCGGUGUUUGGCACCUCGAUGUCGGCUCAUCACAUCCUGGGGCUGAAGUAGGUCCCAAGGGUAUGGCUGUUCGCCAUUUAAAGUGGUACGCGAGCUGGGUUUAGAACGUCGUGAGACAGUUCGGUCCCUAUCUGCCGUGGGCGCUGGAGAAUUGAGGGGGGCUGCUCCUAGUACGAGAGGACCGGAGUGGACGCAUCACUGGUGUUCGGGUUGUCAUGCCAAUGGCACUGCCCGGUAGCUAAAUGCGGAAGAGAUAAGUGCUGAAAGCAUCUAAGCACGAAACUUGCCCCGAGAUGAGUUCUCCCUGAGACUUUAAGUCUCCUGAAGGAACGUUGAAGACGAUGACGUUGAUAGGCCGGGUGUGUAAGCGCAGCGAUGCGUUGAGCUAACCGGUACUAAUGAACCGUGAGGCUUAACCUU
rnacentral:rRNA from 1 species